AAACACUACCCUGAGCUGCUC
rnacentral:miRNA from 1 species